GACGAACGCUGGCGGCGUGCCUAACACAUGCAAGUCGAGCGAAUGAAGUUCCUUCGGGACUGGAUUUAGCGGCGGACGGGUGAGUAACACGUGGGCAACCUGCCUCAUAGAGGGGAAUAGCCUUCCGAAAGGGAGAUUAAUACCGCAUAAGAUUGUAGUAUCGCAUGAUACAGCAAUUAAAGGAGCAAUCCGCUAUGAGAUGGGCCCGCGGCGCAUUAGCUAGUUGGUGAGGUAACGGCUCACCAAGGCGACGAUGCGUAGCCGACCUGAGAGGGUGAUCGGCCACAGUGGGACUGAGACACGGCCCAGACUCCUACGGGAGGCAGCAGUGGGGAAUAUUGCACAAUGGGGGAAACCCUGAUGCAGCAACGCCGCGUGAGUGAUGACGGCCUUCGGGUUGUAAAGCUCUGUCUUCAGGGACGAUAAUGACGGUACCUGAGGAGGAAGCCACGGCUAACUACGUG
rnacentral:rRNA from 1 species